rnacentral:misc_RNA from 1 species
GAAAAAACCAAAAUUUCUCUCUUUUUCUCUCUCUAAGACCUCUCCCUCUCUUUCCAUCUACUCUUUUUUGUUCCCGACUGGUUGGCUCUUUCUAUUGUCUGUUGCCGGAUUAAUUUGUGAAUUCCGGCGAACCAUUUGUAUCCCGGGAAUUACCAGAUCGGAUCCGGGGGCCAUUUAUCAUUACUUCUUCUUAUUCUUCUUCUUCUUCACAUCCAAGAUUAUUUUUUAUUUGUUUAUUUAGGAUAAAAUG